AUGCUGAGCCCUCUAUUGUUCUUGGAUUUUAAUGUACAUAAAUCUUGUCUUCUCAAUUUAAUUGUAGUUUUCUUGAUUUCAGUAUUCUUUAAUUUUUUUUCUUUUAUUUGUUCUUUAAAUACUGUUGCUUUGAUUAACACCUUUCUAUCCCGGCCUCCUGCCCAGCAAAUUUAUGCUGGGCUCCAAUAUGGGGAUUGUAAAAAAUGUUCUCAAUAUUUCUUUGUCUUCCUAUUUUCCAGGUCUGAUUCUAGUGUGAAAAGCAAUAUUGAACAGAAAAUUGUCCCCAAGGAGCAAGAAAUGGAAGUUGAUCUCAAGAAAGACCAGCACAAAGAUGUUGUGAACCCACAUAAAAACUGUGGCCUGCCCAUUUCUCUACCCAUAUACUUAUAUGAUGCCAUCUCAUGGUUUCUAGUUUGAAAGAUUUCCUCCACCUAUGAAAAUCUACAACUCCUCUGUAAUUAUAGUUUCUGGUAAGUUGUUUGGGAGAAUGAAAAGUGAAUUGCCCAAAGUUCCAUAUGGUCACACAAUCACUAUGGGUCUGCUGUGCUUUCUGACUCCCAAGCUAGCCUUCUGGCUUCUCUGCCAACUGCUGCUAUACCAUCUUUAUUUAGAAUCCAGGAAAAUCAAAAUAAGCAGUUCUCUACAUUAGAACUUCUACUCCAGAAUAGUAGGUAUCCACAUUUAUCUUUCUUAAUAGGGUCAAAAAAUUAAAAUCUCAAGCUUUUAAAAGUCACCUAAUAGGGGCAGUUAGAAGCAUCAGCUCUGAAGUCAGGAGAACCUGAGUUCAAAUGUGACCUUAGAUACUUAACUCUUCCUAGCUGUGUGACCCUGGGCAAAUCACUUAACCCCAAUUGUCUCAGGGAAAAAAGUCAUCUAGUUUUAUCCCUUUGCCACUAUCACUUUGAGAAGUGACCAAUUUAACCAUUUGCCUUAAAAAUCUAAUCUGAAUCACUUCCUCUCUCUUUUUCUAGCUUUAAUAUCAAGAUAUCAUUAGUUAAUAUUGUGUGUGUAUCUAUAGAAUGGAAUAAAAUGUUGCAUCUUAAGACUGGAAAGGAUGUUAGAGGUAAUCUAAUUACCCAGUGCAAGGAAUCCUUUUGCC
rnacentral:lncRNA from 1 species